GAGCACAGCCUGUCUUCCAGCACCGUCUUGUCAACCUKACCAUGGCACYGAGUGCCAGGUCCAGUCUCUCCCUAAACAUCUCCACCACCUCUGUGGGCAGUUAAUUCCAAUGUCUAAUCACCCUUCCUGUGAAGAAAUCCUUCGUAAUGCUCAACCUAAACCUCCCCUGGUGCAGCUUGAGACGACAUCCUCUCGCCCUGUCACUGGUUGUUUGGGAGAAGAGGCCAUGCCCCAGCUGGCAAAAACCUCCUUUAAGGAAGCUGCAGAGAGUGAUGAGGUCCUGUCUGAGCCUUCUUUUCUCAAGGCUAAACAACCCCAGCGGCCUCAGCCACUGCUCCUAGGACUUGUGCUCCAGACCCUUCACCAGCUUUGUUGUCCUUCUCUGGACACACUCCAGCACCUCAAUAUCCUUUCUGAAUUGAGAGGCCCAGAACCAGCCACCGUUCUUGAUGUCCACCAGCUCCUCGUGUCCUGCCUCAGCUGUCGCCCUGGACCUUCCCUUUUGAAGGGCUGACAAAGCACUGCCUGUAAGAUGUGAUAAUUUGGAGGGAGUAGUCAUCUGUUCCUGGAGAAAUCAAAUAUUGUCCAGCAUUGUCUUCACUCCAUUUCUAAUAUGAAACUGAAAAACCAGCACAAUGGGGAGGUAUUUUUGAAACUUUGGAGAGACAGCCAAUCCAACUACUGGUAAGA